GUCCCUGUAGCUCAGUUGGUAGAGCAUGGUGUUUGCAGCGCCAGGGUUGUGGGUUCGAUUCCCAUGGGGGGCC
rnacentral:tRNA from 1 species